CGCUUCUUCUUCAAUCCCACCUUUUUUCUUUCACCUACUUUGAUCCCUACUCAAGAAAAGUAGCUCUAUUCACUUUGGGAGCUUCUUUGAUUCUUGGCUUCUUCCAAUUUCACUUCUUACUGUUAUUCCCUCGAAUCCGGGUCUUGCUUGGAAUCUGCUGCCGAGAAUGGUGAUGGUGGACACUGAGGUCACCGACGAUAACAAGGACACUAAUGGCCGCAAGUCUCCUUGGAAGACGCCGGCCGCCGUCGAUGGGAAGGACACGGAUGCUCCUGUAAUGGGAGCUGAUACUUG
rnacentral:misc_RNA from 1 species